AUUACGUGCUGGUUCCUGUGCUAGGAUAUGUUAGCAUUGACUCUUUCUGACCACCCCGCGAGGCUGCCCCUCCAACUUUACAGGUGAAAGCAACUGAAGCUCAGAAAAAUUAAGUAGUUUCCCCAAGGUCACAUAGUUAGUAAUCAGAGGGACUUAAGAAGGACAUGAGUCUGGUCUUCAAGCCCACUCCUCUUUGUUGAGGCCUUAAAUUAUACAACGUGUAGGCAGAUGAGCUGGUCUUGUUCAAAACAUCCCUCCCGCUGGCUGGGGCCCCUCUCUGAGAGAUGCCAGGUGGAUGGCCCUGUCCCUGCAUCUAUCCCUGUCACUCCUGGGCCUGGCUGACCUCUCCCCACAACCUCUUGUCAAGCAGGACUCACAUCUCCAAACCUCUCAUGUGAGACCCAGCCCACGGGGACUAAUUUUCCUGUGGCCCAGAGAAAGCCGGAGAUUUUGCCUUUUUAAAAUAGUAAUUUCCUGCCAGCGCGGGUGGAUACACCAGCCACCCUCUGAUUUAGUGCGGAGCUCAAGGAUCAAUCCCAACUCAGAUUUUCCAAGGAAAAUUCAAAUGUGGGGCACCUCCUGGCAUUGAGGAAGGCAUUGGCCUUCUCUCAAGAGAUGUGUUCAGUGUGGGCAAAGCCAUUGUUGGUGUCACAAGACUCUCAUGCCUCAUACAUGUCACACACAUGCCUUGUACACACCCACAUGCAUCUCAAACAUGCCACCCACAUAGACACACCAUCCACCCGCCUCACCCAUCUCUCUCUCUCACACACACACACACACACACACACGAACACACACACGAGGCAGGGGGUGUCAAGAGCAAGAGAGCUACAUAGUCCCUCUCAGGACAUUACAGCCCCCACUUCCAAGCCUGUUCUGGACUGUGUGCUUUGCCAGGGUGCCUCAUUUCAUCCUUCCUAGGGCCCCAACAGGACAGGUUGCCCCCCACCCCUUUAAAGAGGCAGAAAGUGAGCCUGAGAGAGGCUUGUCCAAGAUCACAGGGCAUGCUCAGACGAAAGUUAGUGGUGGGCACCUGGCUCUGCGAGAUUUCCUUCUUAAUUAGCCCUGCUCCUUGGGGGCAGCUCCGUUGAGUAGAGGCACUCCUCCAAGACACCGCCCCCCUCCUUAUUGGCAGCCCUUCUCCCCUGCCUCCUCCCUCAAUCUCAAGGAAGGAAACCUAGGCACCCUCUCUACCCUAAAGCUGCUCCAUCCGCACCAACUCAGGUCAGGCGAGGAGUGGAGGGUCUGCUCCCUCGCUGGGCACACCUAUAGGCCCACCAGGGUCUGAGGCACUGGCUAAGGCUUAAUGGCUGUCUAAGCAAGACCCUCCACGGGCUCUGCCUGCAACCCCUCACAACCCAGGAUCUCAGUGGGGCCGAGAAGACAGACCCUACUUGGCCCUGGGACAGGACAGGAGGGGCAGGGACCAGCUCUCUCCGUCUUCCUCCACCCUACCCCAAGUCCCACACAGGAGCUCUGGGCCUGGGCUGGAAAUGGAAACUUUCCCACUAGACUGAGAGAGGCCCAACCUGGGGGGCAGACUGGAAGAAGGUGGGAGGCCUGGAAACUACUAAAAGCUUGCGGGUCACAUAGAUUUAGGUUCCCGGGCAGCUCUACCACCUGCUGGCUGUGUGACCUUGGGCAAGGGGCUUUACCUCUUUGAGGCUCAGUGUCCUUAUCUGCAAAGCGAAAGAAAAAUAGCGCCCUCCUAAGGGGGUGAUUGUGAAGGUCAAAGGCAGGGGCGAUGUGCACAGUCUGCGGGGCCUCGAAGUCAGCCAUUAUGCCCCCCAAAGUGAGCAGCGGGUGAGCAGCCACCACUGUGACCUCACCCUGCCCCCGACUCCCAGUUCUGAAAAUUCUUCAUUAGCACCAAAUCCAAACUUUUCCUCAGCAGUGGCAGGACCCAGGCGCGGGUCCUCCUUCCUCCUCCCGCCCCCUCGCGGUCAGACAACAGGUCUACCUGGAGAAAAUGUUGAGCAUUAGAAAGAGCAAAAGCUUCGGAGUCGCCCAGCUGCAGAUCCAAAUCCCAGCUCCCAGCUCCACUGUUCCAUUCAUUCGCUCGCUGGGUAUUUGUUGAACAUCUGCUACAUAGGAGGCACUGUACUUUGUGUUGAGUACAUCAUUGAUUUGGAUGAAAAUCCUUGCUGUCACAGAGCUCACAUCCUAAUGGAACAUUUUAUUUGCUACUUGACCUCAGGCAAGUCAUUGCACCUCUCCAAGCCUCAGUUUAUCCAUCUUUAAAGUGGGACUUGUAACCCCCAACCUUGCAAUGUGGCUGAGAUACAAGCAGGUAAGGGGCCUGAGACAUUCGAUGAAAGGCAUCCCAGGCACCUAGAGCUGGAAGGAACCUCGUUCCAAGAUGAUUCUGCAGCUGUUGCCAAAUGCAGAUGAGACAGGGGCUGCAACAUGGUUCAUCCAAGGCCACUCAGUGAGGUGGGGCAGAGCAAGAAUGGCGGCCCAGGUGCCCUCUCCUGUCCUGCUUCCCUUGAGUCUGAUGCUCUCUGUGUGGUCCAGUCAGGGCUGAGAAGUGAAAGGAAAUAGAGGCUGCCCUUCACCUCCCCUCCAGCUCCUGAAGCUGGAAGCUGCCUCUUCUCCUCUCACAUCACCACCAGGCAAUCAUGGGGAAAGCAUAGCCUGACUACCUUUUGGAAACAGCAGCCUCUAGUGUCUGGGCCAGAACAAGGGCUCAGGAGGAGCCCCAGGCAGCCCAGCUUUUGAGUCGGAUGGAAAUUACUAUUCUCUAAAUAUCAGUUCAGCCACAGUUAUUCAGGGAAGAGGCCCAGCACAGAUUGGGGAGGGUGAGGAGGAUGCGGGGAACAGAAUUAGCUUCUCUGUUGUCAGCCCCUGCAGUUUAGCUCUGACAGCAAACCUGCACAUUUUACUCAGCAAAACCAAGGCCCGAUCCCUGCCUCGCCCUCUUGUUGGCAGUCCAUGCAGUGGACCUGCUCUCAAAGAUCUCACCCUUCCUCAGGCUGCAGGGCCUCACCCAACCACGAUUCCUUUUAACCCACAGAAGACUUUAUGCCGAGGAGUCCUGGAAUAUCUCCUUUUCUCCAUCUUGGGACAUCUGUGGGGCGGUUUUUCCCCCUCUAGAUGGGGGCAUCAAAAACUGCCUUGCUUUCCUGACCUUAACCCAUCUCAGUGCCCAUGGGGUUGCGCUAAACAUCUCCAGAGAAAUGUCUUUAAAUAAACAGAUUUCAUACUUGAGAGGAGACCAGAAAUGUCUAAAACCAUCUCUGUUUACUCUCUCACAUUUGUGAGGUUUGUUUGUUUGUUUGUUUAUUUGUUUGUUUUAAAGCCAAUCAUGGUCUUUUCUUCAAAAACCAUGAAAGAAGAAAGGAUGCUAACAGCUCCAUUUCACAGAUGGCAAAACUGAGGCUGAACAUGGGAAAGUGACUUGUUGGAGGCUCUGUGGUUAAGAAAGAUGUGUAUCUCUCUCUCUCUUUUUUUUUCUCAGACAGAGUUUCACUCUUGUCACCCAGGCUGGAGUGCAGUGGCGUGCUCUCAGCUCACUGCAACCUCCGCCUCCCGGGUUCAAGUGAUUCUCCUCCCUCAGCCUCCCAAGUAGCUGGGAUUACAGGCAUGCAACACCAUGCCUGGCUAAUUUUUUGCAUUUUUAGUAGAGACAGGGUUUCACCUCAUUGGCCAGGCUGGUCUCGAACUCCUGACCUCAGGU
rnacentral:lncRNA from 1 species